CCUACGGGGGGCAGCAGUGAGGAAUAUUGGUCAAUGGGCGGAAGCCUGAACCAGCCAAGUCGCGUGCGGGAAUAAGGCCCUACGGGUCGUAAACCUCUUUUGCCGGGGAGCAAGGGCGGGGACGUGUCCCGGCCCGGAGAGUACCCGGAGAAAAAGCAUCGGCUAACUCCGUGCCAGCAGCCGCGGUAAUACGGAGGAUGCGCGCGUUAUCCGGAUUUAUUGGGUUUAAAGGGUGCGCAGGCGGGAGAUCAAGUCAGCGGUAAAAUGUCGGGGCUCAACCCCGGCCGGCCGUUGAAACUGGUUUUCUAGAGUUGGAGAGAAGUAUGCGGAAUUCGUGGUGUAGCGGUGAAAUGCAUAGAUAUCACGAAGAACUCCGAUUGCGAAGGCAGCAUACCGGCUCCAUACUGACGCUGAGGCACGAAAGCGUGGGGAUCGAACAGGAUUAGAUACCCCUGUAGUC
rnacentral:rRNA from 1 species